GUGAUUGCAAAUACCGGGUACCGGUAACCGUGCUUUUGCACCGCCCUUCAGAACGAUUUACGUUAACCAAAAUCGAAUCCCCUAAAUAUUCGAUUUCGUUUCCCAUAUAACACAUACCUUUUACGGUAGGUGUUUUCGUUUAUGGUGCAGUAGUCCGUCUGUCCUAGAGCUGGCGUAAGUUGAGCUCCAAUGCCAAAGAAACACAAGUGUUGUUGUUUCACCCUGAUCACGUGGCUGUGUACAUGUAGCCCAGGGCCCGUUUCCUUUUGCGGCUUUCUAGGACUCACCUACGCUGUGACGAGAGUGUGAUUGGACCAGAGCUUAACUCAACUGGGAGGAAAAGUGGCUCAGUGACAGGCUCGAACCCAAGACCGCUGGAACACUAGCACGGCACUCUAACCAUCUGAGCUUACUGGUUGGCUGGUUCUUAUACUGUUUACAUACCCACACACACUACACUCCUCCCUUAUUAAUCUUUUCAGCUGAUGGAGGCACUACUGCCAUUGACCGCUGACACCAUUAAAGUAAACUUUAAGGAUAAGUGUGCUCGGUAUGGAGCUUGAACCCAUGACAUCCAGAACACUAGCAAGGCAUUCUUGCAAACUGAGCUAACCAGGCGUGUGGCUUCUAGCACAGCCCUUGAGAGAUUGAGGUAUCCGACUGGCUGGUUUUAACCCACACACUCUGGUUUUAACCCAUACACUCUGUUAACAUUUUAAGCCGGUCCAGUUACUCGUGCCCUUUAUUCUGGACAUGUCUGUGUUUUGAUGAAAAAUCAAGGAAUUGUCACGGCCUUGUGUCAUUGCCAAAAUAUGUUGAAAAUAAAACAGAUCAUAAAAGUGUGGUUGGAGCGGAGCUGACACACUGCUGGAAUAUUAGUGAGGCUUCUAGCAAAGCACUAGAAUGAUUGAGCUACCAGGUGGCUGGUUUUACCCAUGCACAACGUUAAUAUUCUAGCCAAUCCAGGCGCUCAUGUGUUUUUAACUCUUGAAACCUUGUCUGUGUUUUGAUGUAAAAUCUAGUUAUUUUCAUAGCUUGGUGUUGUCACCGCUGGAAACCUCAUUUAACCUGUUGGCCAUAGCUGAAAAACAUUCAAAAUAUUCCGAUGAAAUUUUGUCCACUUUUGUGAAGCCAGAGACAACAUGCAAGAUGUAUGGCCAGGCCAAUAACUGUUUACAGUUUUUGAGUUAUGCCCCUUGUUAUAGGUCCGUGCCCUUGUUAAUUUUUCAUAAGGUUUAAUAAUAAAUUUUAUGUUUGCAUGUUCAACAGGAUUUGCAUAAUUUAAUUCUUUAAAUAAACAAGUAAAACUGGUGGCAUCUCCAGGUGUGUGACCAGUGACCGACAACCAGCCUGUGGCAUUGCAGUGUGUGUGAUGGCUUAGCAGCUCUAGGGACUCUGGACUAAGAAGAAGGAACAGAGUGGCAAGGCAUGGAGGAGAGCAGGUUGGUCAUCGUGCGGGUCCGUCCCAAGCGUAAGCUGGAGGUCAUCAAUUUGAAAGGUCAUCCAAAUGACAAAUGAGAGCCAGCGUCGAGAGUUUAUACAGUCCCUGAAACAGGCCGUUACUGAUCAUGAAGAUGUUGUGGACUGCCAUGAAACAAAGGAAAAACACAUCUACAUGCAGGCGUUUACA